GGGAAGGUUCUCGGUUGAGAGACUCUGUGCCAGAGAACAGGAGUAUCACUAUACUAUAUUAAAGGACAAGCAAGGUCAGUCAAAACGGAAGUGGUCUGUCAUGCUAAGGAAGCUAAUAAAUUAUUUGUUGAUUUUAAUGCAAGUUCCACUGGAGCUCACACUGGAGCUCACACUGGCCAAAAAAAAACAGGAGAUGCCAUUUCCAAAAUACUUUUCUGGCCAGGAAUGUCAGCUGACAUUGAUAAACGGUCUGCAGGACUGCAUAUCCCGAAUGUAAUUAAACAACAAGCGGAAUGUACACCCAUAAAGGUAUGUAUAGUUUGUUGUUUUAACGUAGAGUCCUCAAACUGAAAUAAAUGGACCCCC